CCUACGGGGGGCUGCAGUGGGGAAUAUUGGACAAUGGGCGAAAGCCUGAUCCAGCCAUGCCGCGUGUGUGAAGAAGGCCUUCGGGUUGUAAAGCACUUUCAGUGGGGAAGAAAGCCUUGGGGCUAAUACCCUCGAGGAAGGACAUCACCCACAGAAGAAGCACCGGCUAACUCCGUGCCAGCAGCCGCGGUAAUACGGAGGGUGCGAGCGUUAAUCGGAAUUACUGGGCGUAAAGCGCGCGUAGGCGGUCUGAUAAGCCGGUUGUGAAAGCCCCGGGCUCAACCUGGGAACGGCAUCCGGAACUGUCAGGCUAGAGUGCAGGAGAGGAAGGUAGAAUUCCCGGUGUAGCGGUGAAAUACGUAGAGAUCGGGAGGAAUACCAGUGGCGAAGGCGGCCUUCUGGACUGACACUGACGCUGAGGUGCGAAAGCGUGGGUAGCAAACAGGAUUAGAUACCCCGGUAGUC
rnacentral:rRNA from 1 species